AAAAAUAAAAAUUCGGUCGUUAAAUUUAACGACCGAAAAAACGGUCGUUAAAACUCGGGCGACGAUGCAAACAACGACCGAAAAAAACGGUCGUUAAAUCGGUCGUUAAAAAUAUUAACGACCGAUUUUUGAGUUUUAACGAUCGAAAUUUCGGUCGUUAGAGCCGCAUUUUCUUGUAGUGAUUCUUCUACAAAUUAUGGUGCUGAGCUAACAGUUAAUCCUACCA
rnacentral:lncRNA from 1 species